UUGAACGCUGGCGGCAGGCCUAACACAUGCAAGUCGAACGGUAACAGGAAGCAGCUUGCUGCUUUGCUGACGCGUGGCGGACGGGUGAGUAAUGUCUGGGAAACUGCCCGAUGGAGGGGGAUAACUACUGGAAACGGUAGCUAAUACCGCAUAACGUCGCAAGACCAAAGAAGGGGACCUUAGGGCCUCUUGCCAUCGGAUGUGCCCAGAUGGGAUUAGCUAGUAGGUGGGGUAACGGCUCACCUAGGCGACGAUCCCUAGCUGGUCUGAGAGGAUGACCAGCCACACUGGAACUGAGACACGGUCCAGACUCCUACGGGAGGCAGCAGUGGGGAAUAUUGCACAAUGGGCGCAAGCCUGAUGCAGCCAUGCCGCGUGUAUGAAGAAGGCCUUCGGGUUGUAAAGUACUUUCAGCGGGGAGGAAGGGAGUAAAGUUAAUACCUUUGCUCAUUGACGUUACCCGCAGAAGAUGCACCGGCUAACUCCGUG
rnacentral:rRNA from 1 species